rnacentral:tmRNA from 1 species
GGCUGGACCGAAGCACAGGGCGUCAUCUCCCGGUGCAAGGUCGAGAUUAAACAGAUGACUACACUCGUAGAGGCAUAUUGCUGACUAUCCCGGGACGGGGGUUCGAUUCCCCCCGGCUCCAUUA